AGGAUUCUUUUGGAGAUGGUCAAGAUCCAGGCAAAUAACACAGCCGAGGAUAUUUUUACACACAAGAAGUUUAAGGAUUUACAUGGAAUUAGUGAAGCAAUAAGUGUUUUCUGUGACCAGAUUUUGGAGCAUGGCUUCUAACUAAACAUCACACUCAUCACUUGAACAUUCAGAGGAAAAUAGAGCCACUGAGAGUCAUGAUUGGAAGAGUUUAUUUCUAAAGCUCACGGUCCCUCCACUGUUUGGGUUCUGGAUUAAAUGACGAGGCAUUUCUGAAUUUUUAAGAAUUCUUUAUUUUUCUUUGCUUAGAGUAACAAGGAGGCUUGUAAUGCCACAACAACAUGUACAAGCUUAUAAGGACACUUUCAGAUAUAGUAUAAUGACAUUUGAUAAGUCAGCACAAUUUUUUAGGCAAAUAAACAUGCUUUGUUAUUCUACCACGUAAUCAAAAAGAUUUCUCAACAGUAUCGUGCAGAAUUGUGGGUGUCAUUCGAGAUUUUAAAUGCCACUGGGUGGCCAGCGUAAACAGUUGCAAAUAAUUAGGUGUAAUAUAUGAUCAGGGCAUAUUUACAGCGUUAGCAGAAAAAAGUGUACAAGUUUUAUCUAGGCAUCCAUUAUUAGAGUAAGGAAGGCAUUUCUGCCUUUUGAGAGUAUCACCAACAUCAGGAAUUGGCUGAGAUUGGAAAAUGAGUGGUCUUGUGUGUAUGACGGUACAUAAUUGUAUCUUGCAGGCAUCAUAGAGAAAGCAUAUGGAAAAGAGGAUAAAUUAAAUAUUUGUAUUUCUCCUCCACAUUUGUAAAAAACUGAAUUGUGAUCUCACUUGCUAUACCCUCAAUUUAAAAGAAAAAUUAGCAUCUCAUGAACAAAUGGUUGACACAAGUUAUCGUUGAUUUUCUUUUUACUCAGCUGUUUUAUUUAGCAGGCUGGGGGGAGAGAAUAUAUUGCCAGGAAUAUAGCUUUGUAUUCCUGGCACUAUUGUAUCCUUUUAACAGGAGAAAAAUACUGCUGCAGCCAAACAGCAUGAGAUUACAUGGCCUGGCGCUUGUUUUAAAUUACUAUCAUAGACCAAGUUGAAGUAAUAAAA